rnacentral:lncRNA from 1 species
AUUUAUCUCGACCACCAUCUUUGUCUUUCAUAAGGGAUUCUGAUAGUGACAUUUGUGAUGAGGAUAUCUUGAGAACAAAUAUCCGUGUUUGGAAACUGUCAAAAUCAAACCUCUGUAGCUGAUCAGAAUAAAUCGUCAGAAAUAUCUGAAGCAAUACUAUUUAGAAGUUCGGGCGAAAGCAAUUAUCAAGGAACGUUCGAAAUGAUUACGGCGAGGCAGGCCGAAAGUUGAAUUGUGCAAUGAAGCAAAAUGAGGCGUUUUAUAUUUACUGAAUACGAAGGCUCUCUCAGCUAUACAUACUGAUGCUUCAAAUGAUUGAGUAAAACUGCUAGUCCUCUUUGUGUGUGCUUUCUUCCUCUGAAACAUUCUUUCUGUAUGUGAUCAUAUAUGUCAGCAUUGAUAGGAAACACGAAAGUUGUUCCACACCUGAACAUUUGCUCAAUUAGAAACUUUUAAUCAUGCUUUUUUCAAUUAAAAAGACAUUAAAAAUCCAUUACCAAGAGGUAGACGGAAAUGUGUUCAAGUUACGGUAUAUUGUCUUUAACAAAUGUGCACUUCAUGACCCAAAGACGUAAACUAAAAUGCUACAACUAAUUUAAUGUUUAUCACGAGGGGUCAUCAAGGUAUCUAUAGUUUAAAUACCUUUACGAGCAAGAGUGCAGUUAUGCAUAGAGUUGUUUGGUGUUGGGACACACCCUUCGCAACCCUAUUGUAAAUCUUAUCGUUAUUUAUCAAAUAAAUGUUUUAAACUUGUUUUUGUUUGUACUUUAUUUAAUGGGCUUUAUGAAUGAAUGUACUUUAAUGGUAUUAUUGGAUACUUAUGUUAUCAGUGAUAAAUAUACUUUCUUGUUAGUCAGUUCUAUAGUUUGUAGUAUUUAAUUAAAUUAUUAUCAAGUGACACUUCAACCGUAAUGUAAAUACAUGUAUGACUAAAUAUCCGAUCAACAUUCUUAUGUUGCUGUUCAAAAUGUCUUUAUUCUUAAACGUAUACACCGCCCGUCAAGUUUUUAUUUCCGACAUUUGUAAGACCCAUUGUUACAAUUAGGAAUCAAGUGUGUAGGAGGCCUGUGACGUAAGACAAACACGUGUAGAUGGUCUCGAGCUUUUUGAGAGAAAAAAAUCGAACAAAAAACCUGCUAGUGAUAAUAGAUUGUAGUAGUUGAGUCAAAGGAAACAUUCUAAUAUAUAUUCAUCAUUUUUCAAAUGGUAUAUCUCCGUAUUAACGUUAUUACUAAUAGAAAGAGAGUAAUAACAACCUAAAGCACUAUCAAAUAUUACAUUAAUGUAAUUAGUAAUUUUAAUUGUUCUUCCCUUAUCGGUCAUUUUCCAGGAACUGAGUACGAUGACAAAGAUGAUUCAGAUUCAUGUUGAAGCAAAAUAUACAUACUAAUCCUAACGUAUACGUCAACCAUAAUUGG